rnacentral:tRNA from 1 species
UAUUAGAUGGCUGAUAAAAGUUUUGAUCUCUUAAAUCAAUAUAUAGUAUAAUAAAUAUACUUCUAAU